AUUGAACGCUGGCGGCAUGCCUUACACAUGCAAGUCGAACGGCAGCGCGGGGGCAACCCUGGCGGCGAGUGGCGAACGGGUGAGUAAUAUAUCGGAACGUACCCAAGAGUGGGGGAUAACGUAGCGAAAGUUACGCUAAUACCGCAUACGAUCUAAGGAUGAAAGUGGGGGACCGCAAGGCCUCACGCUCCUGGAGCGGCCGAUAUCUGAUUAGCUAGUUGGUGGGGUAAAGGCCUACCAAGGCAUCGAUCAGUAGCUGGCCUGAGAGGACGACCAGCCACACUGGGACUGAGACACGGCCCAGACUCCUACGGGAGCAGCAGUGGGGAAUUUUGGACAAUGGGGGGCAACCCUGAUCCAGCAAUGCCGCGUGAGUGAAGAGG
rnacentral:rRNA from 1 species